GACGAACGCUGGCGGCGUGCUUAACACAUGCAAGUCGAACGGGAAGGCCCUGCUUUUGUGGGGUGCUCGAGUGGCGAACGGGUGAGUAACACGUGAGUAACCUGCCCUUGACUUUGGGAUAACUUCAGGAAACUGGGGCUAAUACCGGAUAGGAGCUCCGGCUGCAUGGUGGGGGUUGGAAAUUUUCGGCGGUUGGGGAUGGACUCGCGGCUUAUCAGCUUGUUGGUGGGGUAGUGGCUUACCAAGGCUUUGACGGGUAGCCGGCCUGAGAGGGUGACCGGCCACAUUAGGACUGAGAUACGGCCCGGACUCCUACGGGAGGCAGCAGUAGGGAAUAUUGCAUAAUGGGCGGAAGCCUGAUGCAGCAACGCCGCGUGCGGGAUGACGGCCUUCGGGUUGUAAACCGCUUUCGCCUGUGACGAAGCGUGAGUGACGGUAAUGGGUAAAGAAGCACCGGCUAACUACGUG
rnacentral:rRNA from 1 species